rnacentral:rRNA from 1 species
ACGCUCGACACCUACGGGAGGCAGCAGUUGGGAAUAUUGGACAAUGGAGGAAACUCUGAUCCAGUGACGCCGCGUGAAGGAAGAAGGUCUUCGGAUUGUAAACUUAUUUUGUCAGGGAAGAAAAAAUGACUGUACCUGAAGAAAAAGCACCGGCUAACUACGUGCCAACAGCCGCGGUAAUCUGAGCGGCUGCAAGGC